CCAUUUAGUUUGAUUUGUUCCUUCCUCCUCUUCCAACCACACUCUUCCUAGGUCACCACAACGGCCUUUACAGGGUGAAGCCAUGUUAAUGUUAUACAUUGAUUUUAUGACAAAAUCAAGGCAUUGUGGUUUUAGUGCAGCCCAGAUGAGUCCCCGAGGAUCAGCGUUACCACAGCUACCUAGUAAAAGGAAACCCUGGAAUGAGCCUCAUUACUGCUGUAAUAUAAUGUGCUCUAAGCAAUUGCCCUUCCACCUUUCCCCUUCCCAAACAGCCAGGGCAAGAAGCCCGAGUUCUUGGCUGUAACUGAUAAACAGUGUGAUGAGAACAGUUUGUUUAAUUCUCAUUAAUGAGUUGGCUGCAGUAAAUUCCCAGCAACUAAGGACUGAGAACCUCAGAGGCAGGGCUAUAGCAUCCUUCAAUGGGAAGUUUUAGGGCUGCUCUGUCCAGCUUCUAAAGUGUGAAGCCAAGAUGUGUGGGAGACUGACUGAGGGUCACAGCUCGUGUCUGAUAGCAAUACAGACAACUCUGGAACUUGGGUCCUAGUGUGUUGCUUAGCUGUUGGUGCAAGACAACAGAAUAGGCAGAUGGGAAUUUGGGAGCCACCUUUUGUGGUGUGUACUUUAAUGGCUGUAGAUAGUUUCCGGAUUGGUCAGGGUCUCCUUUACACAGUCCAGUGGGGGAGAAUUCAAUGCCAAUUGUCCUACAAGCAUUACGUGACAGAGGAUUCUCUCCCUAUUGCAUUAAUUCUUUAGCAGUGAGCCGGGAAAGAUAGUAGGGCCCGCAUGACCCCCUCCUAGCAGUGCCUCUAGCAGACAUUGGAAGCCAGCUUUUAGUGUGAACUCACCAGCCAUAAAAAUGUCAGGCCACUGAACAGCUGCGGCUCUUCAGGGUCAAAUAGCUCACAUUCAAGGCAGAAAGAGAGGACUGUUUUCUGUAAAAGGCAUUUUAAGAGAAUUCCUAAUAAUGAGGUCUUCUGAUGGGAGAGUAACUAAAAAGUCUUUUCCUGUGAGCCUUGUAAUGACAGUCAGCUUGCAAAAAUUAUCUUAAACUCGAAAUCCAAAAGGCUUAUAAUCUGAACUGCUUGAGAGUGACUAGCUCACUAGUGACAAGCCCUCCUUAUUAUUUCUGCCCU
rnacentral:lncRNA from 1 species